rnacentral:tRNA from 1 species
AGAGUUGUGACUCAGUGGUAGAGCACUUGCCUAGCAUGUGUGAGGCACUGGGUUCAAUUCCCAGCACCACCA